CUCCUGGGCUCAAGUGAUCCUCCUGCCUCAGCCUCCUGAGUACUUGGGACUAUAGGCAUGAGCCACUGUGCCAGGAUUGAAUAUUGUGAUCAUUUAAGGUAAUUGCUGGAGGGAGCCAGCUGCGGCAGACUGGCGGCAGGCGGCCACGUUGGUAACACCACCCCGUGGGUGCCGCCGCGAGGACGGGGUGCCACGGAGCUGGAGCCUCUCUGCAGUCUUCACGGGGAGCAGGGGCCUGAGGAUGGGAGGCCGGACCCCCAGCUCCCGUCCUGAUCUCGGUGGGCCCAGACGGGGCGGCCAGGACAGAAGCCUCUCUGCCCAGGGACUUGACAAGCACGAUUCAGAGCAGCAGGAAGGACCCAGGGCCAGGUACGGGCAUAGGGAUGGGAGUGGAGAGAGGAAUUGACUCCAUUCAGCAGACUGCUCAAGAUGCCAUCUCUGGCUAUCCCGUUGGGGCAGGGCCCUGAGAGCCACCAGUCAGCGACAGCCCACCCUCCGAGCUCACAGGCCGGGCGGGAACAGUCAUGGGCAGGAAAGCGCUGAGAUCGAGGGUAGCUGUCAGGACUGGGGUGCACAGAGGACACCACAGGGACUGACUCUGUCUUGGGAACAGGAGGUCUGGGAAGACUUCUUAGAAUAGGAGGCAGUAGGAUUAGGCCUUAGAAAUGUGUGUGACCCUGCAUUUGGGGAGGUCCCUCCUGCAAAAUGGGGCCAAGGUUACUGUGGGCUUUGCAAAGUGACAUCUGGUUUGUUCUCUUUGCUCCUGGUCUCUAGUAACCAUCUAGGACCCUGCUGAGGUUUCUUCAAGGCAGUCCUGAGCAUGGGGCUCCCAGCUGGGAGCCAGCCGGCCUGGAACCCGGAUCCUUGGUGGCCGGCCAGGGUGGGUGCCCUGGAGCAGUCGGGGUUGAGCCUCUCUUCUGAGGGGCUCUGGGGAGGGCUGUGGCCCAGGCGCUCUGCCCACCAGGCUUCCUGUGGGUGGCAAGUGAAACUUUUCUUCCUGGUUCUCUCCCAGCAGCCAGCUCCAUUCCCCCAGCCCCAAGUGGCGGCUCCUUGGGCCGGAAACAAUGUGCUUUCUCCACGCCUUAGAGUGGAAGUCAGCAGUUUGGCACCGUCUGGCUGGCAGCCUCCACCGGCUUCCUUUGGCACUUUAUUGGCAAAGGCGGUGACAUUUCUUUCAGUUGGGUGGGUGGAGCUGUUAUGCAAACUCCCCUCUCCUCAUUCGCCAGAUGAAUAUUCAUGACUCAGGCAAUCUGUACCAGCCAGACUUUCCUGAGGGCGGCAGCUUUUCUUCUCUUCCUCUCUCUCUUUUUCUUUCUCCUUCUCUCCUUCCCAGCUCUUUGGAAAGCCGAAGUGCAGCUAUAUUUAAUUUACAAAUACAGAGCCGUUUAGCUUGCCUUUUGAGGUGCAGGCGUUGGGGAGGAGCUGCUGGGGACAGGGGACAGGGUUGGGGUGCUUGGUCCUGACCCUGUGCCUCCAGGUGCCAGUGUGCAGCACCUGAGGCCUGGGAAGCCUCAGGGCCCUGGGGGUCCCUCUGAGCGUGGCAUCUUGGGGCCCCCAGGGCUGAAGGUACUGUAGCUCCUGCCAGCCUGUCCCGCCUUGGCCUCCGAGGGCAACGCAGAAAGUCCCAGGCAAUGGAGCUGUCCUGCUCAGUUCAUGGGCCAGCGCCCGCCAGUGUGUCACACGUCUCUCUCCUGCUUGUCGGGGCUCACUCAGUCCCUGCUCCACGCUCUAGGUCAAAGCCCGAAAGGCACCUGGGCAUUUGCUAGCCAUUGGCUUCCCGGGGAAGGAACCAGUCCCCAAUUGGGGUCCAAUUCCUUGGGGAUGCACUGCUCCCUUUCUAGGAAGGUCAGCUACCUCGUUUUCUUUGUCUCUUUCUAACGAGGCACCAAGAGCUCUGGUGGAGGGGUCAGAAUUUCCAGAAUUUGCCAGGAAAUUUGGUCUUAGCGAGGAUGUGCUUGCGUGAGUACAUCUUGUGUGUGUGUGUAUGUAAAUAUUUACGCACAGCUUAAGGGAGUCUGUAUGCCUACAUCUAUGUUCAAGUGUUUGAGUGUGUGUCUGUAUGUGUAAGGGCGUGAAUGUGUAUGUCUCGGGAAGUCUGGGAAUGUUUGCAUGUGCGAAUGUGCCUCUCCAGUUAGCGUUGCAUGUGUACCUCUGUGGGGCUGGGGUGUCGCGUGCAAGGGUGCUCCUGGGCGGCUGAGCCAAGUGCGUGUGCGUGUGUGUGUGCGUGUGUGUGUGUAUAAGUGAAUUGCAGGUGUGUGUAAAAGUGAGAGUCUGGAGAGAAGCAGAGAGAGAGGGAGAGUGUUUGUUGGGGUGUAUUUCCCGUGACCUCCCCAUUCCCUUCCAGACCUUUUCCUCUCCAGGAAGGUGGAGGGGGAUGUUCCCCUCUUUGCAAGUAUUACAGAUUCUAUCCAAGGACGUGAACAGAAGGUUCUCCAGCACAGAGCGUCCUGAAAUUACUUUAUAUUCCCCCCUCCUUGUUUCAUCUAAUCAAAAUAGCAGUGCUAGGCUGUCCAUUCUCCCUGCCCACUGCUUAGCCCUGGGGGAGGGAGUGGGGUGGGCCCUCUUCUCUGACCCCCUCUGAGAGCACCUUGCAGUCCCGAGCCAAGGAGCUGUCUUCCAAAUCUCCUCUUUCCUCGGCGGCCCAUGCUUAAGUGGCAAGAGCCAGCUGCCUCCCUGCCUGCCAGCAACUGCCAAACUCUUCCAGAACCCACAUCCAGGCCCGGCCUCGUUUAUAAAUAUGCAAAUUUGCAUCUUUUCUGGUAUGCAAAUGGAGACAUGAGAAAUAGCUAAUUAGGGUCAAAAGAAGCAUUCUGAACCAAUUAGUUGUAGGGUUGAUCCCUUUCUGCUGGGAGGAGCCUGGGCCUUCCGGCUGCCCUCCCUGCCCUGGCGCCCCGAUGCUCUCGCACUCUCUGCGUCCUGUCUGGCUGGGACCUUGAUUGACUGCAAGAGCACUGAAGCAGAAGUCGGUGCUUGGGUCCCACUCCCGCCUCUGACUCUGAGCUGUGUGACCCUGGGCUGGCUUGCCUGAGUCUAUGUGUCUUCCUCUGUGCAAUGGAGUGAUGACAGUGACUGUCUUGUCCUGACCUAUCUGCUCCAGUAUAGGGAGACUUGGGAGGACUUGGACGUAAACAACCUUUGAAAAUGGUACUAAAAUUUCUCUGAUAGGCACAUCACUUGUACUCUUACAAAGUACUUUCUACCUUUGAUCUCAUGUGAUCAGCCCUGUGAGUUAAUGAAUUCCGUGUAGUGACAGGAUGGCAGUAGGUUUCAUUCUCUGUGUCAACUCUGGCUAAUUAUGAAUGGCUGCUUGGAGUGGUGUGUUGAGAAGGAUUCAGAGGCCAAGUAUGGAUUUGCCAAAAAAGAGACUGUGGCCUGUUAGUGAUAUCUGCUGUGGCCUGGUGUUUGGACUCUGGCAGUUCAUGUGCUGUGUAUUUACUGACCAUGAAAGAUACAGAAUUUGGAGCAGGAACCUGGGUUCUAGUUCCAUCUGCUCCCUUGAUUAAGUUACUUACCUUCCUGGCAUAAAAUAGGGAAAAGAAAACCUACGUCUCAGGGUUAUGGUACAGAUUAAGCAAGGGAAGGUUAGGCAGAAUCUCUCUGUCAUCUGGGAGGGGAUGUGUGUUUAAUUGAUGUGUCAGUGGGGCAAGCGUAUUGUCCCAUUUCGCAGGUGAGCAGCCUGAGGCCUGGAGAGGGUGGAUGACUUGGACAAGAAGCUGGCAGUCUCUCCGGGCAGGCCUGCACGGCAUCUGGGGCUGCUCUGCUCUCUGCCACUACAGGAUCCUGGCUCUCUCUCGCCAGCCCCAGGCUGAUGCCCCAAGCGGGCUGUAACAAGUCCCGCUGGCCUGGCUCCACUUCUGGGUGUGAAAUUUGGCUGAGUCGGCACCUGGGAGAAUGGGGCAAUUGCUAUCCUGGAGCCGGGGGCCUGGGCCUGGGCCAGGGCCAAUGGGCAGAUGAAGGUCUGGUGGGCGGGUCUGAGCACAGGGGAUCUCGCCAAAGCUGGGCAGUUGGCAGGAGUGGGGUGGGAGAGGGCCUGGCUUGAGGACAGCCUGCUCAGGGAAGCGGAGGGCCGGGCCUGAGCUCAGAACAGAGCGCAACAGUGUGUGUGUGUGUGUGUGUGUGUCUGGCUGCUGGCAGUGCCUGAGCCUGUCGGCCGGUGUCGCUGAGCAUGUCUUCGUGUGUGUGCAUGUGUCUGAGGAUGUGUCUGGGCCUGUGCAUUCUUCUAAAUGUGCAUGUGUGUGCCUUUUACAAGAUAGGUACAUCCGUGUAGUUGUGCACUUCUAUGUGUCCAGGUGUGUCUGUGAGUCAGUAUGAGCCUGCACAUCUGUGUAGAAAUGAACUCCAUUGCACAGAGGAAGACACUUAGACUCAGGCAAGCCAGCCCAGGGUCACACAGCUCAGAGUCAGAGGCGGGAGUGGGACCCAAGCACCGAAUUCUGCUUCAGUGCUCUUGCAUGUAUACAUCUGUCGCUGCUCGUGUAUGUGUGUCUGUGCAUUUCUGCCUGUAUCUGCCAGUGUCUGUACAUUUCUUUCAAUGUCUGCGCAGGUGUGACCAUGUUAGUGAGCGUCAGUAUCUGUGGACGUGGGUCCAUGCCUUUCCGUUGGCAUCUGUGCGUCGCUGUGCAUCUGUAUCAGCGUGUGUGUUCUUUCCAUCGCCUCUGUGCCUCACUGUGUCUUGUACGUGUCUGUAACUGCCCAGGAACAUGUGUCCGUGUCUCUGCGGCUGUCCCCUUUGUGAGUGCCUUUCUGAGUGUGUGCAUCUACCCGGGAGGACUCAGGCAUGGCGGUAUCUAAGGUGAGCAGGAUAGAAUCUUCCGUGUGUCUGCAGCAGCUCCAGGUCGUCACUUCGGUCUUUGAGGCCCCCGGGACUCUCAUGGGCCUUUGCUAUACUUGAAGGGAAGCUUUGCUGUGUGUUUCCCAGGGCGUUGCCUCUGACCAGACCAGGCCUUGGUGCCACACAGGCUCUGGGGCUCUUUAAAUUAAAGUCAUUGUAUGCCCCACUGCAUUGUAAUAAUUGGCCCUCAGCAGUAGUUGGGAGUGUGAACUCCUGCCCUUCUCUCCUUCCCUUGUGUGGAGCCCUCUCCCACCGUCCUGUAGCGCUGGUGAAAGAAAGGUGGCCGCACUAGCUGCUGGAAGACCUGCCGGCUUGGACUUCAGAGCACCUCUGCCCCAGCUCCACCGCCUGUCAGUCGACGAUGCCUUCUGCCACGAUGGACUGUUUCUGGGAUUCGACUUAGGCCUUCCCUGGCUGGACCUCCCUGCUCGGUCACCAUCGUCCCCAGGCAGCCUCACCCCAGACAUGGCUCCUCUCACGUGCUGGCUGUAAAUGUCUCCUCUACUCAUACCUGCUGAGAGAUCCCUCUGGGUUGGGACGGUCGGAUCCAGCCCUGCCUGCCCCACAGUUCCCGAGCCUGGGGCCCGGCCCACGGCAGUGCUGACGGAUGAUUCCGGUAAGAAACAGGAUGUCCCAGCUCACGUCUUGCAAUUGUCAAAUGCCUCCUCCACCCUCCCUUCUCUUUGCAGUUCUUUGCCUUCGCUGAUGAUUUUGGAUGCAAUUUAAAAGAAGAAUAUUGAUUAAAAAUUGGAAGCUAUAGAAAUAAAAAAUAAAAAUGCUUAAUACCCACAAGUAUUGUUUGGACUUUAAUAUAAAGAGAAAGCGUGUUCAGAUGACAUUUUAUAGACAAUUCCAAAUUAGCUUGAAGUUCUCAGCUGGUGCGUGUCUUGACCUUGUCCUCCUGUCGAAGGUUCUGUGGCUGGAUGUUCUCCUCGGUGGAAUUCUGGCAAGGCAGGCAGUGAGUGCAGGAUGAGGAGCUUAGGCUUUGGGCUUGGGUAAGCCUGGGUUGAAUCUCCCACUUACUAGCUGUGUGAACUUUCUGAACCUCUGUUUCCACAUCUGUGUAAUGGGGAGAAAGGUCCUACUUCCUAGGGUGACUGUGAGGUUGAGAGACAAUGGCGCACAGGGCAGGGAGCAGUGCCUGGCAUCUGUCAUUCCCCCUUCAGAUGCAGCCAGAAUCUAGCCACUCCCUGCAUCUCCAGUGCCAUGACAGGGGGCCACGCCCAGGGGUCUGUUCUCUACACUGCAGCCAGUGAUGCUGUUAACAUUUAAGUCUCAGCACAUCACUUACCUGCUCAAAACCUGCCAUAGCUCCCAUUUCAUUUGGAGUACAAGCCAAGGUCACCACAGUGGCUCAAGUGGCUUCACAUGCUCAACUCCUACCUCAAUCAAUCACUGUCUCUGCUGUUGUCACCCCACUUCCCUUCACCCGUGCUGCCCUCCUGGCUGCUCCUGGGCGUUUCUAAUGCACCCUGCCUCAGGACCUUUGCAUAUGUGCUUUGCUGGAAUGCUCUUCCACCAGAAUUCCUCGUGGCUCCCUCCAUCACCUCCUUCAGGUCUUUGCUCAACUGUCACCUUCCCCAAGAGGAACACCCAUCUCUUUCUGGCUUAUUUUUAUCUGUGGCAUUUGCCACCAUCUAGUAUGCCACCCUUUUUACUUAAUUAUUUUCUGUGUUGUUUGUCUCUUCCCCAAGAGAAUGGAAGCUCCUUGAGAGCAAGGGUUUUGGUCUUUGUCUUCCCCAUCUGGAACAGCACCUGGCAAAUAAUGGAUGCUCAAUAAAUUUUGUUGAAUGAA